UACGAAGGGGGCUAGCGUUGCUCGGAAUCACUGGGCGUAAAGGGCGCGUAGGCGGACUCUUAAGUCGGGGGUGAAAGCCCAGGGCUCAACCCUGGAAUUGCCUUCGAUACUGAGAGUCUUGAGUUCGGAAGAGGUUGGUGGAACUGCGAGUGUAGAGGUGAAAUUCGUAGAUAUUCGCAAGAACACCAGUGGCGAAGGCGGCCAACUGGUCCGAUACUGACGCUGAGGCGCGAAAGCGUGGGGAGCAAACAGGG
rnacentral:rRNA from 1 species